GGCAGGAUAGCUCAGCUGGUUAGAGCGCAGGACUCAUAAGCCUGAGGUCGUGGGUUCGAGUCCCACUCCCGCUACCA
rnacentral:tRNA from 1 species